GAGAGAGAGAGAGAGAGAGAGAGAGAGAGCGCGAGCGAGCUGUAUCUGGGAUUCUUCUAUCACUAAUGAUAAAAGCACACAUUUAAAGCAACAAGCCGUGGCAACCCCACCUCCCGUGCCUCCACACUCCCAGCCUGAGCCUGAUCAGUGACACUCUCCUAUCUAUGAAGUCCUCACUUUUGUCGGAAUAAGGAGCAGAAGGUAGCUGGGAAUGCUGGCUGUGGAGAAAGGAAAAGGAGCGAGUAGUGAAGAUUGAGACUCUCAUCAUCCUGCAGAGAGAGUAACAACAAAUCAGGUUGAGUGUGUGAUGUGCUCUCAAGUCUCUGAAAUGCUGCGAUGCCUUCAGUAUUGUGGCCAUUUCCUUUUCUUGAGGAGACAGCUCUGGAUCUUAUGGCUGGGCCAGUUUGGGUUGCUGCUCCGAGACCUGCUGCAUAGCUCCUGGCUUGAGAGCUCUCCUGCCAUCUGACCAGAGUCUUCUUUUCCAGGAACCAUGCCUGCCCUCUGAUGUGGGCUCUUCUUCCCCACGGACUAUGCCUUCUAUUUUUCUUUGGUUGAAUAGAUGGUAUCAUCACAGUAGCUUCCUGAGACAGAGUCGCAGCAAGACAAAAUUUGAGACCACUCAUCUCUGAAGACGUUGCCAUUCUACGCUCACACUGAAUUGAGAGUUUGGGUGAGGAGGGGAUUCUGAGUUGGAAGUCGCUGGCCAUUCUGACUUCAGUGUUGUUGGAAGGGCUUCUGCUCGUCUCCUUCUUUUGCAUGAAACCUGCUUAUUUGCUCUGGAAUCUCUAGUCUGUUCUCUUCAUUACUAAUACUAAAAUGCCAUAGGAAUAAACCUUCGUUUUACAGGA